AAAACAGUUGAAGUGGUUUUGAAAUAGUAUUGAGUAAAAGUUGACAUAUUCCAGUCUGUGAUUAUCCAUCAACAUCCAUUCCUUUAAUUUUAGUCUCAAUGAUUCCUAAUUUCUGCUUUUCUAACUCAAACAUUAGGUAUAAUUUCCUAUAAAUGAGGUUUAUUGACCAUAAAUUCCAAAGAUAACUGUAAAAGUUAAUAGGUUAGUGUUCCAUCAACAUCCAUUCCUUUAAUUUUAGUCAACAUAAUUCCUAAUUUCUGCUUUUCUAACUCAAACAUUAGGUAUAAUUUCCUUAUUUGCUGACCAAAAACAACUGUAAAACUAAAGUUAAUACGUUAGUGUUACGUAGUGUUGAAAACGUCAAAAAAGUGACAAACAAACGUAAGAAAAAGUUAAAAAGGUCAACCAAAUUGUUGAUUUUCAAUUUUGACAGGAACACAAGGGUUAAUCAACACAUCGGUAGCUGUUUCCAGUAUUUAUUUCCAGUUGGAAGCUAUACAUUAGUGAUUUGUGGGGUGGAUGCUAAUAGGCUGCAUACCAUUUCUAAUCUAGGUUACUCUACUUGAAUUAAUGGUUACAACCAAAUACUUACAUGUCUGCAAAAACUACAAAUGCAAUACGUGAAUUAAUGAAAAGUUUCUUACUUACUUAUGUCCACCAUGUUACUGCGUCAUAUGACGCCAACUUUCUGAGUUGUGGUUCAGACCUGAGGGGGCAUUCCCGUGAAUUUUCAUAAUUGGGAACUGCUUUUUUCGUCCAAUAAUUCCAACAGCAUGCGAAUGCAGCAUCAUAACCACAACACUUUUGGAUAUAGAUUUGAAAUAUGGAGCCACAUCCAGGACACGGUUGGCUUCGACAGAAAGCAUAAAAAAAAACAAGCAAAUUCUCUUGUUUUUUGUACAUAAUGAACAAACAAGAUACAACGUAAUAAUAAAAUAAUUUAGGGUGCUUUUUUUCCCUUUUUUUUUAAACCUUUGGACAGCGGGACGCUCCCUAACUUUCUCACCCUUGGCUUCAUUCUUUGUUCUUAGCCAGCUAAGCUAACUGUCUCCCAGCUGUAGCUUCCUAUAUCACAUGAAGACAUGAGAGCGAUAUCGACCUUCUCAUCCAACUCGAUAAGAAAGUGGAUAAGCGUACUUUCCAAAAUGUCAAACUAAUGUCAUCCCUAUCAGUUAGUGUGGAUGGCACGUCAAUCUUGAAAGCUCACUGUGUCACAGAAACAAAUACACCCAAUAAAAUCAGUACUGCGGUUUUUCUGCUAGCAGUCAUUCGCAGUAGGAGGACAGAUAUAGUCAUCUGACUUACUCAGAGCGAUGAUAAACUAAAUUAUAAGGCCGUGAAAAGAUUUGAAGGAGAAACUGUAAUUCAGGAAAAUUGAAUCAGUGCUAAGAAUUGGACUCAGGGUGUUAUGUUUUGGAUUGGAUUGUGAGACAGCUAUCUCCUUUCCUUUGUGAUGAAUGGAUCUGUGUACUGUUAGCAUGCGUUGCUAUUUCCUUCCACUUCAGUUGUCUCAGUGUGGAACCCCCCAACUCUUCAAGUCCUGUAUUAAUAAUUCUGACUCCCUGGGAGAGAUGGUUGCCUUUUUUUCCUUCAGUCAGUCAAAAAUGUCUGACUUUCUCUGCAUUGCAGCAAAAAACAUUUGACUUCCCUCCUGUCCGCCAAUCAGAAUCAUCUCCUCCUUCUCACCCAGCCAAUGAACGCGCUCCCACCCUAAAACGAAAGAACGAGCCUCCUUUGUGCGAUACUGUAAUGAUAAAAGUACAUGUACAUUACGAUACGACUGUAAUCUUAUUUAUGAAUAUAAACCGAUAUAAUAUGUAAAUGUACCACUAGCUUCGACCUUAUUUCAUAUGAUGACACAGCUACUGUUUGUGUGUGUGUGUGUGUGAGAGUGAGAGAGUGAGAGAGUGAGCAUGAGUGGAUGCCUGUAAAAGCUCAGUGUGUGCUGUAUGUCGGGAUACUUUUGCGAGUGUUCACGUGUGUUUUGCAUUUGUAUCAUUUGUGUAACAAGAGAUGCCUCAGUGUAGUAUAACUGUACAAAUUUGAGUGUGAACCCUCACGCCGAAGCACUAUGAUAUGUAUUAUUACCCACACCCACACUUUGCUUUCGUGGUCCGCUGGUAUCCGGUUUGUACUGUCUCCGAUAUGGGACGUGUGGUUUUGUUUGCUGUAUACCGUUGCAGUUCUAUAAGUAUUACUCCUAUAGAUGUUCACCAAAUGACAGUUGACGUGCGGAGAGGGGGCUUUCUGAAACGGAUGGUGUUGAGAAGUUGUUGACAGGGGAAUCCUGAGGAAUAAGGAGGGGGGUGCCAGUGAUAAUAAUAGAAAACACUGUCCUGUGUUACAGUGUCACCCAGUGGAUAGAAGUAUAACGUCAUGCCUCACAACAACUCAACAACUGUACUGCUCCCCCUUGUGAAUAACCCAAUGAAUACCCCAUGAUCAAGACAACAUAGACAAUAUUCAACAUGAUGUUACUAUAUAUUAGUCUUUGUUCAGUCUUGUGUUUCUCAAAAGUGCAGACAUCUGAAGGUGGAGUGAGAAAAUGUCAUCAAGGUGAAUCGGAUUGUUGUUGGUUAAGUAUACAGCAACAGAAGUGAAGCCACUCGAUGAAUGGGACUUUUCUGAAAUUCAAAAGCUUUUAUAGAAUGAAGAUCUCUUAAGUGAAAGUGAAAUUAAGCAAAAGAAGCAGAAGCUUAGACACCAAAAGCUUAAUUUACAAGAAGGAUGACAGCAAAUGAGCGCUCAUGUUGCUCUUUAUUUGCCGGGAUAUGUGAAUAUACAAUUCUAUUCACCAUAGCAAAUGAAGAUUGUGAUGAAAUGCCAAUAUUCAUUUUUGGCUUUUCUUCCUGGCAGACACCAAGUGGCAAAACAAAUGAUUAAACACACAAAGAAAAAAGUAUUAACACAGCUUUAAAGCCAAUGUAAAGUAUGUAAGAUUUAACAUACUAGCAACAAAAAAGCAUUUUUAUUGGGAUUAUCAAUCAGCAUAACAGAUGUUUGAGUAGGGCUGCAACUAAUAACUAUUUGCAUUGUUUCUUGAUUAAUCAAUCAGUUUUCCGGUCUAUAAAAUAACAGAAAAUGGGGAAAGAAUCCCAAACUCCUAUCCUCAAAUAUCUUGUUUUGUCCCUUCUCAAAUGUAUUCAUUUUACUGUCACAGAUGAGUAAAGGAACCAGAACAUAUUCCCAUUUAGAAAGCUACAGUCAGAGAUUUUUUGAAACUUUUUUUCCUAAAAUAUUACACAAACUGAUUCGUCGACCAUCAAAAUAGUUGAUUGUUGUCGUUCAUUCAAUACAGUUAAUGAGUUAUGUCAUUGGGUUUUUCAUAAAGAGCAGGUCUAGACUGUACUCUGUGAUCUUAUUUACAGAAACCCAACAAUUAAGAAGCUGAAAGGAGUUCACAAUUGAGCAAUUCAACUUUGAGAUCGUUCUAUAUUUGAGGGAUGCAAAAUAUAAUCCUAAAAAUUCUCCACGUGUUGUUGGAGUUAGAUUAUCUCACUCUACUGGCAGAUUUCUUGACACCUAUUGAAACACCACCAAAGACCCAGGAUUACGUUUGACACAACCAGAAGGACGAUCUUGCAAAUAGUUAGCAGAAUCCAAAUAGUGUCCCAUACUUUUGUUUUGACUAAUUUCAUUAUAAUCGCGGUCUUGGUUUAAUCAUCUGAGCGCUACGGAGUAGAACUGUUUUGAUAUGACAAAGUGUUGAUGUGUGCUGAUUAGAUUCCGUCCAUUCUUAAUAGUACCGGCUCAGAGCGAGGGAGACACUUGGACGUUUGUCCCUAAGAUUGCAGACACUAAUGAUUUUUGCUUUUUUUUUUCUCAUUGCAUGUUUUUCAUGCAGUAUCCAAUUCAAAACUACUUACAGACAAUUCAACUGUCACUCCUUAGUUGUCAAAGAUUUUUUUUUAAAUCUAAAAUUUUCUUUUGGGAUGAAUAAAGCAUCAAUCUAUCUAUCUAUCUAUCUAAGAUGACAUUUAUGGAACUGAAAUAAAAUACAUGAAUAUGAAAUGUGGUUGUAUCAGGUGGAGGUAAACAUGAAGAGAAAACCCCUGCACAGGCGCUCUGAGCUGUGUCACACACUUAAGAACAUGGAUAUUCUACUUUUAUUUCGACACGGGAUCAUUUGUACUUGGUUGUGUGACAUGAGUCUAUUCUUCGACAUUACGCUUUGAUGUUCAUGUAAAUGUCUAUUUGUCCCGUUUGAUGAUUUUUGCUUUUGAUUUCUUUCUUUUUUUUUGGUUUUAAAUAUUGUUAGGCUCCUAGAACAAAGACAAUGUAAUUAUUUUUGUUACAUAGAAUAAAACACAUGGAUGUCCAGA